rnacentral:rRNA from 1 species
CCUACGGGUGGCAGCAGUGAGGAAUAUUGGUCAAUGGGCGCGAGCCUGAACCAGCCAAGUAGCGUGAAGGAUGACUGCCCUACGGGUUUUAAACUUCUUCUAUAAAGGAAUAAAGUGAGGCACGUGUGCCUUUUUGUAUGUACUUUAUGAAUAAGGAUCGGCUAACUCCGUUCCAGCCGCCGCGGUAAUACGGAGGAUCCGAGCGUUAUCAGGAUUUAAUGGGUUUAAAGGGAGCGUAGAUGGGUUGUUAAGUCAGUUGUGAAAUUUUGCGGCUCAACCGUAAAAUUGCAAUUGAUACUGGCAGCAUUGAGUACAGUUGAGGUAGGCGGAAUUCGUGGUGUAGCGGUGAAAUGCUUAGAUAUCACGAAGAACUCCGAUUGCGAAGGCAGCUUACUAAACUGCCACUGACAUUGAUGCGCGAAAGUGUGGGUAUCAAACAGGAUUAGAUACCCUUGUAGUC